rnacentral:rRNA from 1 species
UAACACGUGGGCAACCUGCCUCAUAGAGGGGAAUAGCCUCCCGAAAGGGAGAUUAAUACCGCAUAAGAUUGUAGCUUCGCAUGAAGUAGCAAUUAAAGGAGCAAUCCGCUAUGAGAUGGGCCCGCGGCGCAUUAGCUAGUUGGUGAGGUAACGGCUCACCAAGGCGACGAUGCGUAGCCGACCUGAGAGGGUGAUCGGCCACAUUGGGACUGAGACACGGCCCAGACUCCUACGGGAGGCAGCAGUGGGGAAUAUUGCACAAUGGGGGAAACCCUGAUGCAGCAACGCCGCGUGAGUGAUGACGGCCUUCGGGUUGUAAAGCUCUGUCUUCAGGGACGAUAAUGACGGUACCUGAGGAGGAAGCCACGGCUAACUACGUGCCAGCAGCCGCGGUAAUACGUAGGUGGCGAGCGUUGUCCGGAUUUACUGGGCGUAAAGGGAGCGUAGGCGGACUUUUAAGUGAGAUGUGAAAUACCCGGGCUCAACUUGGGUGCUGCAUUUCAAACUGGAAGUCUAGAGUGCAGGAGAGGAGAAUGGAAUUCCUAGUGUAGCGGUGAAAUGCGUAGAGAUUAGGAAGAACAUCAGUGGCGAAGGCGAUUCUCUGGACUGUAACUGACGCUGAGGCUCGAAAGCGUG